rnacentral:rRNA from 1 species
GACGAACGCUGGCGGCGUGCUUAACACAUGCAAGUCGAACGGAAAGGCCCUGCUUGCAGGGUGCUCGAGUGGCGAACGGGUGAGUAACACGUGGGUGAUCUGCCCCUUAUUUUGGGAUAAGCCUGGGAAACUGGGUCUAAUACUGGAUAGGACCAUGCUGUAGGUGGUGUGGUGGAAAGAUUAGUUUCGGUAAGGGAUGAGCUCGCGGCCUAUCAGCUUGUUGGUGGGGUAAUGGCCUACCAAGGCGUCGACGGGUAGCCGGCCUGAGAGGGUGGACGGCCACAUUGGGACUGAGAUACGGACCAGACACCUACGGGAGGCAGGAGUGGGGAAUAUUGCACAAUGGGCGCAAGCCUGAUGCAGCGACGCCGCGGGGGGGAUGACGGCCUUCGGGUUGUAAACUCCUUGCAGCCAUGACGAAGCCCUUGUGGUGACGGUAGUGGUAGAAGAAGCACCGGCUAACUACGUG